CUUGUAGGCGGUUUGUCGCGUCUGCUGUGAAAAUCCGGGGCUCAACCCCGGACUUGCAGUGGGUACGGGCAGACUAGAGUGUGGUAGGGGAGACUGGAAUUCCUGGUGUAGCGGUGAAAUGCGCAGAUAUCAGGAGGAACACCGAUGGCGAAGGCAGGUCUCUGGGCCACUACUGACGCUGAGAAGCGAAAGCAUGGGGAGCGAACA
rnacentral:rRNA from 2 species